AUUGAACGCUGGCGGCAGGCUUAACACAUGCAAGUCGAGCGGGGUGAUGGUGCUCGCACUAUCACUUAGCGGCGGACGGGUGAGUAAUGCUUAGGAAUCUGCCUAUUAGUGGGGGACAACAUCUCGAAAGGGAUGCUAAUACCGCAUACGUCCUACGGGAGAAAGCAGGGGAUCACUUGUGACCUUGCGCUAAUAGAUGAGACUAAGUCGGAUUAGCUAGUUGGUGGGGUAAAGGCCUACCAAGGCGACGAUCUGUAGCGGGUCUGAGAGGAUGAUCCGCCACACUGGGACUGAGACACGGCCCAGACUCCUACGGGAGGCAGCAGUGGGGAAUAUUGGAUAAUGGGGGGAACCCUGAUCCAGCCAUGCCGCGUGUGUGAAGAAGGCCUUAUGGUUGUAAAGCACUUUAAGCGAGGAGGAGGCUCUUUUGGUUAAUACCCAAGAUGAGUGGACGUUACUCGCAGAAUAAGCACCGGCUAACUCUGUGCCAGCAGCCGCCGCAG
rnacentral:rRNA from 1 species